UGAGCCCCGCGAAUUGAGGAAGAGGAGCGCUUAUCGCCCCUCCACAACUCUGGUAUUAACCAUUUCUGCGGUGGUGCUUUCCUCGGACUCGCUGCAUGUGCUCCUCUUCGCACCGCAGAGAGCCUCGCAGCUCCGACCUUUACUUAAGGACGGAUCCUUGCUCGGACUGUUCGUGGGCCCAUUUCUUAGCCUUCGCGGCCCAAACCCUCAAAACCGAGGGUGAAGAGCGAAAUUAGUAGGUUGGCGAAAAAAGUAAAUGACUUUGCGAUGUUAAUGGAUUUUUUUUUCAUUCCUUUACUUCCUCUCCAUUCUCUUGGACCAGAAAUCCAAUUUUUAAAAAAAUACCAAGAUUCCUGCCCUGUUUCACAAGACUACAAAUCUCUGUACAAUGGGAGGUUAUGUCUCGAGGGCUGAAGAAGAAAGAUUAUAUAACUUUUAUUUCAUUCAUUACAGUAAAUGUGCAUUCUCUAAUUAUAGCCAAAUAAUGGUAUAUGAUACAAGAAUGUAAUUGUUUAUUGUGGCGCUCAUGCUAGCUACUGGUGUUCAGGAAAUUGUGUAGAAGACCAUUUAUUACAUUUAAGCAGACAAUUAAUCCUUAUUUCCGUAAGGUGUAAUGUGUGAAGAAUCACUUCAGUCUCUGACAAACUGUUGCCUCUGAUGUUUUUCAUGCCUACAUAUGUUUCAAUUUCCCUAACUAGCUUUCCUAAUAUAUUCUGCACUAAAUCUAUUUAUUGGGAUGUUUUUACCAAUCAUUUAGAGUGAUUUAAUUUCAGAUAAUGCUGCCUUAUAUUGAUGGCAAGCAUUUUUUUUAAUCACACAUUUUAAAUUCUCUGGGCCUGAAACUAUACUUUAUCUCUCGCUCUAGAAUUUUUUGGGGACACAGGAAAAAAAAAUUUAAGUGAAAGAGAAUUGAGGAAAAUGCUGAGGGGAAAAAUGUAAAUUAGAAUUCUAUACCCAGCAAAAGAAGGAUGGAAAGAAGAUACUUUUUCAGCAAACAACCACUGAUAGUUUGUUAUCCACAAACUCGUGUGUAUGUGUGUGACUAGACAUAAAGAAUGGUCUCUACAUAAUGAGAAAAGGUUCAAUGCAUAGGGAAGAUACAAGAAUUGUAAAUGUGUCUGUCCCUAAUAAAAUGGCCACAAAAUAUAUGAAGCAAAAAUUGAGAACACAAGAAAAAAGAGAAAUCUUCCAUUGGAGUAGGUGAUUUGUAACAUCUCUAAUAAACCAAGGGGACAGAAAAAUCAUUAAGGGACUAGAAGAUUUGAAUAACACGAUUACUGAGCUUGAUGUGGAUGCAGAAUAUUGAACUCAGCAACUGCAGGAUGCACAUACUUUUCAAGAACAUGUGGAAUGUUUACAAAAACUGAACAUAUGGGGUCCUAAAGCAAGUCUCUCUACAUGUCUACGGAUUGGAAUAAAGACGAACACAUUCUCUGACUACUAUAUAGCUGCUAGCCUUGCCCCUCUACCACCCUGACUAUCUUGAAACGAAUCUUGCAGCUGUGGGACUGCAGAGAAAACUCCAACUACAGGAAAAGAAGAAAGGGUAACGAAUGAAAUUGCCCUGGGGGUGAGCAGUAAGAGGAAAGAAGAAGAGAGGAAAAAAAUGAAAGAUAUCCACAAACCACACCUGCCUCUUCUAAACAGAACAAAAAGCAACCACCUCUGGAAGUCAUGAGCACUCUGCUUCAGAGUACAGAGAGGACCUGAGCAACAGAAGCACUUAACUGAGAGAGAAGACAAAUUAAUUAACUUCUCAAAUCCUUUCCACUUGGCAUUAAUGCAAUAGAUUCUUGCAUAACAAAAUAUCAUUUCCCUGUUAUGCCAGAUGUCCAUUUUCAACUUCUCAUUCAUAGUCCUGAAGGUACUCACUGUAUUAAAGCAAUUUGAUUUAGUCAAGAUAUGAUGCACUGGAAGAGGUAAGUGAAACAGUAGAUCCUCAGAUAUGAGGGAAUUGCAGUCUUCAGUGAAAAAUGAAGCUACUUUGGCAUUUGCAUUAGGUGCACUUAUUUGGUAUGAACUGUUGCUUACAAAAGAAGUUGAUCUAUUUCACUUUUAAAAGGUUAAUUUUUUUAAUUUUUAAAGAAAAUGUUUUUUCUAACUUAAAAGAAACGUGUAAAAUGCACAAUGGAAGAUAUAAGAAAAAUAGAAACAAAAAUGUUUGCAUGAUUAUGAGGAUGAUUCAAAUGCAAAAUUUCCCCAAGCCAAUUUUUAUAGAGACUAUUUUUGGCCAUUAUAGAUUAAUAUAAACUGGAGAAACACUAAUAAAUUGAAUAACAUCUGUUUUCAGUUUUCUUUAUUAUAUCCCAGCAUUGAAGUAUUUGAAAGGGAAAUAUUUAAAAAUACUAUACAGAUCUAGAUGUUGCUUUAGGCCUGUUUAAUUUCAUGAAACCCAUGAUAUUAGUGAUAGCAAUUUAUAUAGUGAGUUUAAAAUAUGUUGUAUAAUUUUGUAGUGACAAAUAAUUAUAUGCCACCCAACCCUAUCAAAAUCUUUGAGCCUGAUAUAUUAAAUUUAUGGUUCAUUUCCAAUCUAAGUAUUGUUUUAAAAAUGUAAUUGACAAUUCCAGUUGCUACUAUUUUGGCAGAACAUAGUUUCUCCAUUCUGAAGUUAAUGAAAAACAACCUAAGGACUACAGUGUCUCCAGAAAGGUUGUCUAAUUUGUCAUUACUCUCAAUAGAACACAAAUUGUGUGAAAGUCUUUGUUCUAGUUUGCUAAUGCUGCCGGAAUGCAAAACACCAGAGAUGGAUUGGCUUUUAUAAAAGGGGGUUUAUUUGGUUACACAGCUACAAUCUUAAGGCCAUAAAGUGUCCAAGGUAACACGUC